CCUGAAAUGUCUCCAGCGUCAGAUGUCUGGAGGCAAAGCAGGACACGAGUCCGCUGCUUUAAGCCAGUAUUACAUAGAUGUUUCACGCUCAAAGAAGUUGGCAAACUUUUAGUCUCAGACAGAAAACAACGUUUUGGUCAACAGGGAUGGACAACAUGUCUGUUGUUUGAGGAAAAUAGUUUCAAAGUAAUGAUUCUACCUGUGUUAACACUAAACUAAUUAGUUAUCCUUUUUUAUAGCCCUAAACUGUUUGGGUGUGGUGGGUCUGUUACUGUUGGUAUUCUAUUUCUAAACUGUAAAUAUCAAUAAAUGUUAAGGUUAUCUAUUUAAAUAUACAGUAAGGUAGCAUAAUUUUUUUAAUGUAACAUUAUUACUUUCUGUUGUCACUAUCACAACAAGAAGAAGGUUUGAUAUUAGGAUAAUGCUUGCGCAUGUCGCUCUGAUGAUAGAACUUGCAGUAAAUGAAUAACUUCUGAACUAAGCAGUGUUAAUGUCUUUCUGCGUUGCACUCAUUUCAAAUCUAGCCCUCAGAUAAUAGAUAGUCUAUCAAGCUAUUGGCAGAAAGUGCAUUUCAUCAUUUCCAUCACAACAACAUGCCUUUAUUGAAAAUGUUGUCUCUCUCCUCGCAUGCCAUUUUAGCAAAAACUUUGUUGCAGACUGUAAUGCACCAAGUAGUGGACCCCGAUAAUUCAGCCAAAACACAGAAGUAGAAUUAAAGGUUUUAUGGAUGUAAAAGGUGUUGGACAGGAAAUUGGCUGGAGCCCAUUCAGAAACCACUGUAACAGAGGGAGUAAGGUUAGUGGCUAGGACCAACUCAGUGGAAGGUGGAUAACACAGUAUAGUAACAGCCACUAACCUUCUAAGAAGCCAGGAAGUUGCUCUGGAUGCGAUCCAUGGGUCCAAGGGCUCCACUUGUUUGAUGCUUCUGUAAGCAUCUGUUUUUCACAGCGUGUAACCAGGGCUGAAGCAAAAGGGUAAUCCGUGAUACAGGCAUGGGUCGGAACCACCAGUAAGAUCAGGCAGAGGUUUCCAGAGGGAGAGGCUUGGUCGGGGCUGAGCGAGAGGUCGUUACCAGAGGCCAACUGCAGAAUCCAAAAAGAAUAAGGGAGUCAGGGAAAAUCCAAAGACUUUAGGUAAGGUCUUAAACAGGCAGGCAGACGAAGAGCGCUGGAUGGUAUACUCACAUGAUGGCUUUCUAGAAUCUGGCAGCUACAUGCAGAGAGAGCGAUGU